rnacentral:rRNA from 1 species
UACGGAAGGUGCGAGCGUUAAUCGGAAUUACUGGGCGUAAAGCGCACGUAGGUGGCUUGGUAAGUCGGAUGUGAAAGCCCCGGGCUCAACCUGGGAACUGCAUUCGAUACUGCCGAGCUAGAGUACGAAAGAGGGGGGUGGAAUUCCAGGUGUAGCGGUGAAAUGCGUAGAGAUCUGGAGGAACACCAGUGGCGAAGGCGGCCCCCUGGUUCGAUACUGACGCUGAGGUGCGAAAGCGUGGGGAGCAAACAGG